GAUGAACGCUGGCGGUAUGCUUAACACAUGCAAGUCGAACGGACUCUUCGGAGUUAGUGGCGGACGGGUGAGUAACGCGUGAGAAUCUGGCUUUGGGUUCGGGACAAUCACUGGAAACGGUGGCUAAUACCGGAUGUGCUGAGAGGUAAAAGAGAAAUUGCCUGAAGAUGAGCUCGGGUCUGAUUAGCUAGUUGGUGAGAUAAAGGCCCACCAAGGCAGCGAUCAGUAGCUGGUCUGAGAGGAUGACCAGCCACACUGAGACUGAGACACGGCACAGACUCCUAGGGGAGACAGGAGUGGAGAAUUUUCCGCAAUGGGCGAGAGCGUGACGGAGCAAUACCGCGUGGGAGAAGGAGGCUCUGGGGUUGUAAAGCUCUUUUCUUAGGGAAGGACAAAGUGACGGUACCUAAGGAAGCAGCAUCGGCUAACUCCGUG
rnacentral:rRNA from 1 species